rnacentral:lncRNA from 1 species
CCGUAGCCCUUCGUUGCGCUCCCUCUGGCAGCUCCAUGCCUCUCGAGAGGGGCGAUGUGCAGGGCCCCCCAGCUGAUGUUGCCCUUCCCCAGGGCCAAGCUCUGCGCGCUGCCCUGUACCGCUUCCGCUGCCCGCUCUGCCAGGACAUGCAGACCUUCCAGGCAGAGAUGUACCGCCUCGGCAUCAAAAUCCCUGACAGGGAUGCAGCCUGGGAAGAGGAUGGAGCCUUUGAAGACCUCUUGCAGAGGCACAGCUCCUGCGAUGCCAGCCUGUGCCUGUGCCCCCAGGGACGGGAGCAGUCGGAGGACGUGGGGUGAGUGGGCUCCGACCCCAAAGCCAUGGCGACCUGCUGCCUCCGUCCCCUCCUUCCAGCUGAGACAGACAUUGGCCAGGAUGCUGAGCUCAGCACGGCACAAGCUGUGCACUGCUAGCUCACUGCCAGCCACGGGGGUGGGAGUGGCACGGACCACCCCAGCGCUGGCACCCCACAGCCCUGGGGCCCCCGGUGACCGUGCGGUUCGGGUUCUUGCCGCUUUCCCAGGCCCUGGAGGCUGCUGCUCUGCAGCUCCUGCGGUUCCUCUGGGACCCACCAGCUCUGCUCCGCCAUCGGAGAAGACACCGAGAACUGGGAGUGCAGCGGCUGCAGUGGUGUGGGCACCGGUAAGAAACGCAGCACAGGGACAGGGUCCCCAUAGACGUGUGGCCAUAAGUCCUCGGGAGAUGUCCUCCCAGUUGGAGCCACGUUGGAUACAGAGAUGUGCACCUGCGCUCAUCUCCGUGCCCUUCGCAGCCCCUUCAGGAUCAGCCCCGGUGUAG